rnacentral:rRNA from 1 species
GACGAACGCUGGCGGCGUGCUUAACACAUGCAAGUCGAACGGAAAGGCCCUGCUUUUGUGGGGUGCUCGAGUGGCGAACGGGUGAGUAACACGUGAGUAACCUGCCCUUGACUUUGGGAUAACUUCAGGAAACUGGGGCUAAUACCGGAUAUGAGCUCCUGCUGCAUGGUGUGGGUUGGAAAGUUUCGGCGGUUGGGGAUGGACUCGCGGCUUAUCAGCUUGUUGGUGGGGUAGUGGCUUACCAAGGCUUUGACGGGUAGCCGGCCUGAGAGGGUGACCGGCCACAUUGGGACUGAGAUACGGACCAGAAUCCUACGGGAGGCAGCAGUGGGGAAUAUUGCACAAUGGGCGGAAGCCUGAGGCAGCAACGCCGGGUGCGGGAUGACGGCCUUCGGGUUGUAAACCGCUUUCGCCUGUGACGAAGCGUGAGUGACGGUAAUGGGUAAAGAAGCACCGGCUAACUACGUG